rnacentral:SRP_RNA from 1 species
GCCGGGCGUGGUGGUGGACGCCUGUAAUCCCAGCUACUCGGGAGGCUGAGGCAGGAGAAUUGCUUGAACUCGGGAGGGCGGAGGUUGCAGUGAGCCGAGAUUGUGCCACUGCACUCCAGCCUGGUUGACAGAGCAAGACUCUGUCUCAA